UUACGGUCACAUUUACAUUGAAACACCGGUUCCCGUACAACCAGUGAAGUUAAGCAACGUCGAGCCUUGUCUGUACCUAGAUGGGUGACGACCGCUUGGGAAUACUAAUUAC
rnacentral:rRNA from 1 species